rnacentral:rRNA from 1 species
UGGGGAAUUUUGGACAAUGGGCGAAAGCCUGAUCCAGCAAUGCCGCGUGUGUGAAGAAGGCCUUCGGGUUGUAAAGCACUUUUGUCCGGAAAGAAAUCCUUGGCUCUAAUACAGUCGGGGGAUGACGGUACCGGAAGAAUAAGCACCGGCUAACUACGUGCCAGCAGCCGCGGUAAUACGUAGGGUGCAAGCGUUAAUCGGAAUUACUGGGCGUAAAGCGUGCGCAGGCGGUUUGCUAAGACCGAUGUGAAAUCCCCGGGCUCAACCUGGGAACUGCAUUGGUGACUGGCAGGCUAGAGUAUGGCAGAGGGGGGUAGAAUUCCACGUGUAGCAGUGAAAUGCGUAGAGAUGUGGAGGAAUACCGAUGGCGAAGGCAGCCCCCUGGGCAAUACUGACGCUCAUGCACGAAAGCGUGGGGAGCAAACAGGAUUAGAUACCCUGGUAGUCCACGCCCUAAACGAUGUCAACUAGUUGUUGGGGAUUCAUUUCCUUAGUAACGUAGCUAACGCGUGAAGUUGACCGCCUGGGGAGUAC